rnacentral:rRNA from 1 species
UGAAUAUAGGACGUCCAACUUAACUUGGAGUCCGAACUCUCACUUUCUAACCCUGUGCACUUGUUUGGGAUAGUAACUCUCGCAAGAGAGCGAACUCCUAUUCACUUAUAAACACAAAGUCUAUGAAUGUAUUAAAUUUUAUAACAAAAUAAAACUUUCAACAACGGAUCUCUUGGCUCUCGCAUCGAUGAAGAACGCAGCGAAAUGCGAUAAGUAAUGUGAAUUGCAGAAUUCAGUGAAUCAUCGAAUCUUUGAACGCACCUUGCGCUCCAUGGUAUUCCGUGGAGCAUGCCUGUUUGAGUGUCAUGAAUACUUCAACCCUCCUCUUUCUUAAUGAUUGAAGAGGUGUUUGGUUUCUGAGCGCUGCUGGCCUUUACGGUCUAGCUCGUUCGUAAUGCAUUAGCAUCCGCAAUCGAACUUCGGAUUGACUUGGCGUAAUAGACUAUUCGCUGAGGAAUUCUAGUCUUCGGACUAGAGCCGGGUUGGGUUAAAGGAAGCUUCUAAUCAGAAUGUCUACAUUUUAAGAUUAGAUCUCAAAUCAGGUAGGACUACCCGCUGAACUUAAGCAUAUCAA